UACGUAGGGGGCAAGCGUUGUCCGGAUUUACUGGGCGUAAAGAGCGCGCAGGCGGUCGUUCAAGUCGUGUGUGAAAGCCCCCGGCUCAACUGGGGAGGGUCACGCGAUACUGAUCGACUCGAAGGCAGGAGAGGGAAGUGGAAUUCCCGGUGUAGUGGUGAAAUGCGUAGAUAUCGGGAGGAACACCAGUGGCGAAGGCGACUUCCUGGCCUGUUCUUGACGCUGAGGCGCGAAAGCUAGGGGAGCAAACGGGG
rnacentral:rRNA from 1 species